ACAUGCAAGUCGAACGAUUAAAGCACCUUCGGGUGUGUAUAAAGUGGCGAACGGCUGAGUAACACGUGGGCAACCUGCCCCUUUCAUUGGGAUAGCCACGGGAAACCGUGGAUAAUACCGAAUACUUCGAGACUUCCGCAUGGAAGACUCGAGAAAGCUCCGGCGGAGAGGGAUGGGCCCGCGGCCUGUUAGCUUGUUGGUGGGGUAACGGCCUACCAAGGCAAUGAUGGGUAGCUGGGUUGAGAGACCGACCAGCCAGAUUGGGACUGAGACACGGCCCAGACUCCUACGGGAGGCAGCAGUGGGGAAUCUUGCACAAUGGGCGAAAGCCUGAUGCAGCGACGCCGCGUGCGGGAUGAAGGCCUUCGGGUUGUAAACCGCUUUCAGCAGGGACGAGGCGAAAGUGACGGUACCUGCAGAAGAAGCCCCGGCUAACUACGUGCCAGCAGCCGCGGUAAUACGUAGGGGGCAAGCGUUAUCCGGAUUCAUUGGGCGUAAAGCGCUCGUAGGCGGUCUGUUAGGUCGGGAGUUAAAUCCGGGGGCUCAACCCCCGCUCGCUCUCGAUACCGGCAGACUUGAGUUUGGUAGGGGAAGGUGGAAUUCCUAGUGUAGCGGUGGAAUGCGCAGAUAUUAGGAAGAACACCAGUGGCGAAGGCGGCCUUCUGGGCCAUAACUGACGCUGAGGAGCGAAAGCUAGGGGAGCAAACAGGAUUAGAUANCCUGGUAGUCCUAGCCGUAAACGAUGGACACUAGGUGUGGGGGAGUAUUUCUUCCGUGCCGCAGCCAACGCAUUAAGUGUCCCGC
rnacentral:rRNA from 1 species